rnacentral:sRNA from 1 species
CUACAGCAGACCCAGAUGGGGACUGAUCAGAGAUACUACAGAGAGUGGUGCAUGUUUUUACUGUGCAAGGAACCCAGCAAAGGAACGAGUGGAACAAUGCGGCUUGGCUUCUGUGCACCUGCCUCCCACCAGCUGUAUCUGCUUGGAGGAAGGGGCAGCCUUUGCUGCUUGACCUAAGGAAUCUUUAGGGCUGAGAGAAGAGUCAGCAUCGCUGGGCAGAGGCCUUGUCUCCAAGUUCUUGGAAGUGAUCAGCACGCUCUCUUGUCUCCCUGCCUUCUGCCUCUAGCCACCUUUUCUGACCUGUACUGGGCCUGCUUGCCUGCAUCUCUCUGUCUAAAACCCAACAGUGCCAGGAGAGAAUGAAAAACAACAGGGGGAAGUCAGAUGGAAGCCAAAAAACCUUCCCCAAAGGACAGCAACUAGAGGAAGGGCUUGGUGAAGUCAUUGCUUGUUCCUGUGGGGAUGGUGGCCACCCCUGGUGCCUGACAUCUGCCAGCUGCAGUCCUAGGGUCUCUCUCUAACACUCCAUUUGCUCACUUCUUCUUGUGUGUCUCUGCGGUCAUUUUAAAAAUUUAUUUAUUUAUUCACUUUAGGGUGCACCCUGAUGCUGACCCCUCCCUCCCAUAAGUGCCUCCCAUCAUGCUCCUCCUCUGAGAGAGUAGAGGCCCCACCUGGGUAUCCCCCUACCCUGGGACAUCAAGUCUCUGCAGGGAUAGGUGAAUCCUUUCCUACUGAGCCCAGACAAGGCAGCCCAGUUAGGGGAGCGUGCUCCACAGACAGGCAAGAGCUUUCAGAACAGCCCCUGCUCUCCAGUUACUGAGGGAGGGGGACCCGCAUGAAGAUUGUGCUGUAGAUCCGGUACAUGUGAGCGGGUAGGCCUAGAUCCAGACCGUGUAUGUGCGCUCUCUCUCUCUCUCUCUCUCUCUCUCUUGGUGGUUCAGUCUCUGAGAGCCCCCAAGAGUCCAGGUUAGUUGACUGCAAUCUUUUUUUCCUCUGCUAUGGCAAAGCUUCUGACCUGCCUACAACUUCCCUCAGUCUAUGUGUGCCAUCUCUCUCUUACCUCUCAUUUCCUGUACCUGGACAGAUAAUAGUGAGACGGGGCAGAGGUGGUGGGGAGAUAGGGGAGGUAUGGGAAGACCAACAGGAAGCUCUGGACUCUCAGAAGAUGAGGAAGGUGGGGCUCCCACUCUCAGCAGAGUCCAUGUGUAUGCAGUGUUCAUUUCUGAAGCCCAGAAUCUAUUUCUGUGCUGUUAACCCCACAUUCUUCAGGGAGUUUUCCCUUUGUCACCAUCUGGGAGAGGUGGGUUCCUCUGGGGAACAAACUAAAGGGGGUACUGCCUUCCCAUUACCACCUGGUUGCUAAGGACUAGAUAGUAGAUUAUGAAUGAGGGAGAUUUUCAGACUGGAGGGCACACAAAUGGGAGAUGCCUGGAAGUUUAUUCCAGUGGGUGCUGGCCUUGAGGUUGGUUUUGCUAAGGAGCACUGACUCCUUAUUUGGGACUACAAGGCAGUUAAAAAUCAAGAUGAAAGUCAGACAACUGCAUUUUGUAUUUAUGUCCCUGGCAGUCUUAGUUGGGGUUUCUAUUGGUCUGAUAAAAACACCAUGACACAAUCAACUUGGAAUCCACCAGGGAGAGCAGUCAGGGCAGGAACCCAAGGCAGGACCAGAUGCAGAGGCUAUGGAGGGAUGCUGCUAACUGGCUUGCUCUUCAUGGCUUGCUCAGCCUGCUUUCUUAUAGCACUCAGAACCACCUCAGGACAGCACCCCCACACAGUGACCUUGGCUUCUCACAUCAAUCGUUAAUCAAGAAAAUGCCCCAUAGGCUGGCCCUAUGCCUUGAGGCUGCCCCAUAGGCUGGCCCUAUGCCUUGAGGCUGCCCCAUAGGCUGGCCCUCAAGGCAGCCUGGUGGCGGCAUUUCCUCAACUGAGGUUCCAUCUUCCCAGGUGACUGUAGCUCAUGUCAUGCUGACACCAAACUAGCCAGGACACUGGCUUUAGGUCAGACUUCUGCUUGACUCUGCCUAGGGCUGGUAGUCACUGAGUAAUGUCUGUCUAAAACCUGGGGAUGCCUAGCCUAGUUCAUCCCCUUGCAACACUGAAGGCAUAAUGAGAAGAGAAACUGAGAUCUUUUUGUCAGUGUUACAGCACCCUGAUCCAGGUUACAAAAGCAUCUGAAAGCCUUCAGUCAUUGUCCCAAACCUGAAGUCACCUUGGAUUAUAGGACCAGCAAAGCUUUACAGAUAGAUGACCACCUCCAAAGGUAGAGCAGAUUAUCCCCACAAGCUGUGAAGCCACCUUGCAGAAGCAGAACUGAGCUGGUCAUCAACCAGACUACAUCUUGACCAACACUGCCUAGUUCUUCCUCUCAAGCACUCUGGGAUCUUCAAGUGACAACCCUCUGUGGGACAGAGCAUUUUCUAGCUGUCAGCCUGAACAAACUACUUAGUCCUGUCAUGCUUUCUGGUCCAUCCAGCUGCACACAUGAAGCCUAUGACAUGCAGGGCACACUUCCCUAGUGCUCCCCUUCUGCAUGUGGUAUCUGUUUCUCUGGUCUCUCUACUUGCUGUAGGCAGAGCCCCCUCCCCAUUCCUGGGGGCUCUGGGCUUCUCAGCUUUCAUUCAUAUGGCUUCUUGCUCCUUCAACUCACCUCCUCUAGGCAGUGAUCUCUAACAGCACAAUGAGGCAACUCCAGAGACCCAGUGAACUCAGUCCAAGGAUCCAAUUCCUCUAUUUACCCCUGGCAUGCUUUGAGGAGGCCUCCUCCAGAGCCUUGUGGGACAUCAUCACUGAAUUGGGGAAAGAAGGAAGCUCCCAGUCCCCUUCUAAGCACCCCAAUACACAUUAUUACGAUCUUGGAGCUCAAGUGUUCCAAGUAACACCAGCCUGCACUGAACUGCUCAGUGUUGAAAUUAUAUGAUUGUUACAAGCCACAUGAGCAGAGCAAAAACACAGCAAGACUUGGGUCUCUUUCUCCUCAUCAGAAGCACGGCCAGAGAAGGCCUUUCUUUACAGGUGCGCCCUGAUUCUUCCUCUGCUUCUCCUUCCCCAGACUCACAGAAAGCAAGAUCACUUUGCCCAGUGUGCAACUGGACUGUUAACAAGCUAAACAGAGGAUAAUGGAGACAGUAAUUUGUACAAGGAAGAGAUUCUCUGGCCACUUCUGCCUUCUACUCUCCCGCCCCUCCCGGUGUUUGCUGGGCAGUCUGCUUCCACACAGUAACCCGUUCUCUUUCUGGUACCCUGGUGCUUCUUCUGACUCAGUCAGCCUCCCAUUGGCCUGGAGAUUUUGAGGCUGGAAGUUGUCUGUCUUCUUUUCAGGUCUUAUUAAAUGUUCAAAAGUUUAAUAAUUGAUUUUAGAGGCACAGAUUCAGGGAUGGAGGAUUCUAUUAGAAGUUGAACCUUUCUCUUUCGGUGAGGACAAGGAAAGUGCUCACCCUAGGGCUUUUGCUCCACUUGUGUUACUCACAUACAAUUUAAACAUUUUCAGGUGUGUUGGGGGUUCCGCUCUUCUGGGUGUCACAUGAGCUGUUAACUUGGAUUGGGGUCUCCGGUGUGUAAGAGGACCACAUUUGGUUUUAAGCACAGCCCAUGGGAAGACACGUGGUGAUUGGAGAGAGUAUAAGUAGCACUCCAUUGACAGUGACCACAUGCGUGUAUAGCUAGCCUUGCAAUGCAUCAGUGAUCUUUCAUCUUCUCUGAAGUUUGCUUCAUUGAGAGGAGCAUUGCAGAGAACUCCUGGUAUUCUGGCUGAUCCUGGUUGCUCCCACUGAUUCAUGCCAAUUUAUCAGAGGCCUGGUUGUUUCUGUUGGAUCAUACCAUCUCUGCUGAUUCAUGUUUGCUAUCCUGACACUGCUGAACUGGACUGCUGGUAUCCUGACAAUGGAGGUUGAAAUCACCUCAAAGAACUUCUAAACAGCAGUGCUCUGGUGUCCCCAAGAAGAUGCUGACUGUGGACCAUUCUGGACUUUGCUAUCCUCCUUGAGACGGUAUUAUGGCAGCACCCGGACACUGUCUGAGGAGAGGCAGAACAUGGCACCACAGACUAAUCCAUCUGUUGAGAGGAAGGUCCAUUUCUAAUCAGAUCUUUGAGUUGGGAAGACACGUGCCGUUAAUGUGGGUCUUGAGGCCGGGAGACACGCUGUUAGUCUGCGCCACACUUUUUCUGGAAGCCUAUCUAAGGACAGGGAAGAAGAAAUCGUUUGCUCUUUGCCUGCUUGUUUUGCUCUGCUAGCAAGUCCAUUCCUUCACUGGCAUUGGAGGCUACUUUGAGACUCCUGCAUAUACUGAAGACCAGUUGAGACAUCCAGCCUCAUGGACUAAGCAACUACUGGAUUCGUGGACUUUCUGUUCAUAGCCAGCCAUUGUUGAACUGCAGCCUGUCAUUCUAACAAAUCCCCUUUGUGUGUGUGUGUGUGUGUGUGUGUGUGUGUGUGUGUGUGUGUGUGUGUGUGUUCAUUCUAUAGGUUCUGUUCCUAGAGAACCCUGACAAAUACAUCCGCUCCUCUCUUCUUAAUGAAACCCGACUAAAGGACUUUAAAAUGGGAUUCCUAUUGUAAGAUUGAAAUUAGAAGACUGUUGAAAACAUUUCCAACUAGUGGCAGUUCGCUCUCUCUCUGAAGAACUCUAAGGCAGAAUGCUCCAAACCCCUAGUGGGGUUUAUGCCUUUCCAUUCGCUGGUUCCUCUUCUGCAAACUUAUCCUGAGGAAAGAAUCCAGUACGUUAACCAAGAUCCCUCUUGAAUUACAUGUUUUCCACCUUAGGAGGAGAACCUAUAGGGUGCUGAACAGUUCUGUGCCUCACAAAUGUUUAUAUACACGGGGGGGGGGGUGCAACUCUGGAAUAGAUUACAGUUUUUUGGCAAAGACAUUCUUGUGUCAUAUUUAGUUUUAAAAAUCAAGAGUUUGAUUAAAAAUAUAGUCUAUUCAUAUUUGUUACAAUAUAAACAUAUAAUAUGAAUAAGAAACAGAUCUAGGGAGAUGGUUUAGUGGGUUAAAUCUUUGUUACGCAGAUAUGAUGUCCAAAGUUUGAUAUAUAGAUUCUGUAUAGCAGCCAGGCAUGGUAGCAUGCACUGUGAUCUCAGUGCAGGGCAGAGGCAAGUGGAACUUUGGGGGCCAGUGGACAGCCAGUCCAACCAAAGCGGUAAGUUCCAGGUCCAAACCUUGUCUCCAAAACAUGGUAGAAGUGUGUUUGGGAAGGGCAUUCCAAUAUCAAACUCUGACUUUGCACACCUGUAUAACACACACAGAUGAACACACAUAUAGGAUAAAACAGAAUGAAUCACACCAACAAGAGGUUCAUAAUGUUUUCUAAAGUUAAUGUCUGGAUAUAAGAAAUGUGGAAAGGUCAUUCAUUUCCUU